CACAAAAGGAGGGAGGGAGAGAGCGAGAGACACAACUUCCUCCACCUUCGGGAGCGCUGGGCGGAGUGGGGGGCUUGGAGGGGAGACUGAGGAACCGAGGAAGAGGGGGUGACCGCUGCCUGUCGUCCCCCCCCCCCACACACUCCCCCAACCCCGCAUCCGGCUCCGCUUGCCAACCCUCUCCUGGUGUGUCUGCCGGUUGCAGUGUUGGAGGUUGGCGCGGGCCCCCGCCCUCCACGCCCCCCACGGGAAGGAAGCACCCCCCGAACUAAAAAGAGCGGAGCGGAAAGAAGCCCUCAUUCGGGGGCCAGGAGGCGAGCCGAUGCCGAGCUGCACCGCGUCCACCAUG
rnacentral:other from 1 species